UUGUACACACCGCCCGUCACACCAUGGGAGUCGGAAAUGCCCGAAGCCGGUGACUCAACCUUUAAGGAGAGAGCCGUCGAAGGCAGGUCUGAUAACUGGGGUGAAGUCGUAACAAGGUAUC
rnacentral:rRNA from 1 species